rnacentral:rRNA from 1 species
GACGAACGCUGGCGGCGCGCUUAACACAUGCAAGUCGAGCGAGAACCCAGGCUUCGGCCUGGGGGAAAGCGGCGAACGGGUGAGUAUCACGUGGGUAAUCUGCCCUCGGCAUCGGGGUAGCCCGGGGAAACCCGGAUUAAUACCGAAUGGCCCAUCCGCUCUUCGGAGCGGCUGGAAAAGGUAGCUUCGGCCUCCGGCCGAGGAGGAGCCCGCGGCGGGUUAGCUUGUUGGUGGGGUAACGGCUCACCAAGGCGACGAUCCGUAGCUGGUCUGAGAGGACGAUCAGCCACACUGGGACUGAGACACGGCCCAGACUCCUACGGGAGGCAGCAGUGGGGAAUCUUGCGCAAUGGGCGAAAGCCUGACGCAGCGACGCCGCGUGGAGGAUGACGGUCUUCGGAUUGUAAACUCCUGUUAAGUGUGAAAAAAGACUCAUUUUUAAUAGAAAUGAGGGAUGAUGGUAGCACUAGAGAAAGCACCGGCUAACUUCGUGCCAGCCGCCGCCGUAACAC